AUGACCAAAAAUAACUUGCUCAAAAGGGGAAUUGAAAACCCCCCGGAAUGUGUUUUCUGUCUAGAGCAAGAAACGGUUGAUCAUUUGUUUUUUGAUUGUGUGGUUGCCAAGAAAAUAUGGAGUGAUAUUUCAAAAUUCUUCUCUAUUGAUUUAGGUGCAAACUAUCUAUCCAUUGCCAGAUUUUGGCCAGCUAACAAAAUACAUACAACGAUGAAUGCUUUUGUGGCUUGUGUCUUGUGGAGCAUAUGGAAAAUUAGAAAUAACCAUGUGUUUAACAACGCUGUCUGGUCUGACUUGAAACAGAUAUGGUGACUAGUCUGGAGAACACUCAAAAGAUGGCUGAUCCUGUACAAAGGGGAGACGCUGGAGAAGCUUCAGCAAAUCUCACUCUGGGUAUCCAGCAUUCUUGCAGCCCCUUUUCAGUUGACAGUGGGGUGA
rnacentral:rRNA from 1 species